GUCCGCGAAAGCCUUGCUGUACUGCGCGCCAUAGCGAUGUGCGCAUCGUCAUGCGCGUUGAGGUGUUGAGUGGAAACCCGGUGAGACCGAUCCAUUUUUGCUUUAUGUUGAGGUUAUUUGUCUUACGACAUUUUUAAACUUGAGGCAGUUUCAGUCUCGUUGUUUAGUGGUAGUGCUCAUUAAUUGGUGGAAUCGUAGAUAAUCAGAAUCAGAAACCGUGAACUUAGGUUUGAUCCCAGAGUUGAAAAUUAUUAGUUACCUGAUCUCAUCAAUAUCCUAAAGUUAGAAUAUUUCAGUUUUUGCGUCAUUUGAUUGAAUUGUGCAUCAGACUAAAGAUUUUGGUAAGGUGUUACGUUCACCUACUCUGUAAUUUCGUUGCGCUAAGUUGUACCAAUGAUGGAGACCGGGGUGACUUGGAAAAGACCCGUUGGCCUGUGUAAUGGCAUCGGGAUGACCAAGAAGAGACCUGUGUAAAGUCUGCGGUACUGUUUUUAUUGUGUUAAGCUGUAACUAUGAUGGGUAUCGGGGUGACCUGGAAGAGACUCGUUGGCCUGUGUGACGGCAUCGGGGUGACCAGGAAGAGACCCGUAUACAUCUGUGGUACAGUUGGUGUCAUGUCACUGUGGUUGUGGUUGUGGUCCCUAGGAGGCCAGGAUGGGCUGAGAGCUCGGCUAAGGGACACGACGGUUAUGUGAAGCCUAUCAAGUAGGCGUUGAUGUGAAUGACCUAAUAGCUGUAAUGAUUUUGUAAUUUACCAGUUGAGUCUGACUAGCAAUUCGACCUUUCUUUGAUUUCGUGCUUAGAAUUUAACGUAACUAGUUUCUUCAUUUAAAUGGUGAUUGCUAUUCUUAAAACCCAUAACAUGUGUGUAGGUCUUACUAUCCUACGUAACGAGAAGGUUUGUUGUUGACCCAUAUGUUGUCAAUAUUUAUCGGAUGCCUAAGCACUUUCCAUUUCUGACUUAACAGAUAACAUCUAAGGUGAACCGAGCCUGGAGAACAGGACGAGGUUUACUAGUCAAGCGGCGGGCAAGGUGCACUGCAGUUGCUGUUUGCAGCGUCGUCCUCCCCCGGAUUUUUCGUGGAGGCCGUAUGAGUUGCGGCAGGCCAGAACAUCGCGUCUUAUCGCACAAAAGUUGUACACGAGAAUAUGUUACGGCAAGGCGGCUGUGUCGUAAGCAAGCGCUGCUGGUUGCAGCACGAGCGCUGCUGAGCCGGUGCUGCUGGUUGCGGCACGAGCGCUGCUGAGCCGGUGCUGCUGGUUGCGGCACGAGCGCUGCUGAGCCGGUGUUCUCCUCGAAGAAUUGUUGCUCUGGGGCAAUGUUGCCUUUUGGGCCUUUUGUCGGUGUGGUGUACCUAUUUGGGUCACCCACGGCCUCUUGACCCUGUGGGUCCUCUUGUCGGUGUGGUGUACCUAGUUGGUGCACCCACGGCCUCUUGACCCUGUGGGUCCUCUUGUCGGUGUGGUGUACCUAGUUGGUGCACCCACGGCCUCUUGACCCUGUGGGUCCUCUUGUCGGUGUGGUGUACCUAUCUGGUGCACCCACGGCCUCUGGAAGCUGGUCGGCUUUGCAAACCGACCAGUCGCUAUGGGACGUGCGCUCAUAGUGUUCUGUAUUAAGCAUGGUAGUCAGUUACUUUAGUAAUUAAAUUGUUUGAACGUCUUUGUUUAAGUUGACUGGAGCUGUUUAUUGAAAAUUUACUAAGUUACUAGCUUUGAAGUUCAAACCUUAUAAUUUAUUAGUUACUUUAACAUUGAUCUGCAUGAGGAUGGCAUGUGUUGCUGUAGGUACAUAUUUGUCACCCGCAGAUAAUGACGGUGAUGAUGAAGAUAUUACGAUUGAAGUCCAGCCAGCCCAGCCACGGCCGGUGCCUGCAUCAGAACCAGCACCGGGGCCCUCGUCAAGACCCGACCAUCCGGAGCUAGAAUCUCCCCGAGGACUUCACACGCCCGACCUAAAUUGAAGCCACAUUACCUGCCGAGGACGUCAGGAUGUCAGGAGAGGCCGUAUUAGAUAUUUGAUAAGUUAGGAGGAGGGUAGGACGAUAAGUUGCUAUAUAAGCAGCCGAGUACCGGUGCCUCGCCCAUUCGUUCAUCGUCCGCCGUGCGUGUAAGACGUAUUUUGAGGUUAUUUACCUAUAGAAAGAUUGUUAUUUUGUUAAGAGUUAGUGCGUGAUUCAUAUUUAUUGUUGUAAAUGGUGAUUUAUUUUAACAAUUGGUUUAAAAAAUUGUAAUGUUAGUUUUUAGGUUAUAAAGUUGUACCAUUUUUUUAUUAAAUCCGCUUCUGAUUGCUAAAAA
rnacentral:lncRNA from 1 species